rnacentral:rRNA from 1 species
CCUGGUAAAAAUAGUGUAAUGGUACCACCUGAAUCCAUACCGAACUCAGAAGUGAAAUAUUAUAACGCCGAUGGUAGUACGAGGCUUCCUCGUGCAAGAGUAGGAAAUUGCCAGGG